AGGACGAACGCUGGCGGCGUGCUUAACACAUGCAAGUCGAGCGAGGCCCUUCCUUCGGGAAGGUGCCCUAGCGGCGAACGGGUGAGUAACACGUGGGCAACCUGCCCCUAGCACUGGGAUAACUCCGGGAAACCGGGGCUAAUACCGGAUAUGACCUUCUUGGGCAUCCUCGAAGGUGUAAAGGAUUCUGGCUAGGGAUGAGCCCGCGGCCUAUCAGCUUGUUGGUGGGGUAAUAGCCUACCAAGGCGACGACGGGUA
rnacentral:rRNA from 1 species